rnacentral:lncRNA from 1 species
CCGCCGGAAGAAGCAUACAUUUCUGUUAAUGUCUUUUUUUUUCUGUUGAGCUAAUUGGAGAAAUAGAGGUAAUAUUGAAAUAAAAAAAUAACCUAAUUACAGAAAUCGCUUAAAUUUUACAAUUAUUUAGUUUAUGUACAGCUUAUUUGAAAACAAUAAUAAAAAAUAUAGGUCACCGAUGAGUUAAAAAAGAUAUUUCAAAUUUAAUGCCAAAAAAUAGCAUUUUUGCACCAAAGGGAGAUAAUUUGGAGCUUUUUCAAUGAUAUAAACAUUUUAAAAGUCAUCUGGGGCCAAACAGAAUCGUUUUUUUAGGUUGAUUUUUGUACCAUGUAAUAAAGUAAUAACUAAUAGUGUAAUAAAUAAAAUUUGUAAUGAAAAAAUAAAGGUUUAAUUUUUUGCUGAAAUUUUUGUACCCACGAGCCACCUUAAUAUCAAUU